GAGAAUGCAGGCAUGAGUAGCGUGUGACGGGUGGGAAUCCCGUCCGCCGAUUAUCCAAGGGUUCCAGGGUCAAGUUUGUCUGCCCUGGGUGAGUCGGGUCCUAAGGCGAGGCCGACAGGCGUAGUCGAUGGUUAACGGGUUGAUAUUCCCGUACCCGUAUAUGUGCGUCCAUGGUGAAUCAGUGAUACUAACCAUCCACAAGUCUUCCGCUGCUGUCUUUGAUGGUGGUGGUUGGGGCGUGCGUGGAGCCUGAUCUGGUAGUAGCUAAGUGAUGGGGUGACGCAGUGGGGUAGCUGAGCCACUUAUUGGAUUGUGGUGCAAGCGUGUAGGGCGAUCGGUAGGUAAAUCCGCCGGUCAUGAUGCCUGAGGCGUGAUGCGUAGCCCCUUUUUGGGGUGAUGUUGGUGAUCCCGUGCUGUCGAGAAAAGCCUCUAGCGAGUGCAUAUAUGGCCCGUACCCUAAACCGACACAGGUAGUCAGGUAGAGAAUACUAAGGCGUUCGGGUGAACUGUGGUUAAGGAACUCGGCAAAAUGCCCCCGUAACUUCGGGAGAAGGGGGGCCAUUGCUGGUGAUACAUCUUGCAUGUUGAGCUGGUGGUGGUCGCAGAGAAUAGAGGGAAGCGACUGUUUAUUAAAAACACAGGUCCGUGCGAAAACGAUUAAGUUGAGGUAUACGGACUGACGCCUGCCCGGUGCUGGAAGGUUAAGAGGACCUGUUAGCUGUUAAAGGCGAAGCGGAGAAUUUAAGCCCCAGUAAACGGCGGUGGUAACUAUAACCAUCCUAAGGUAGCGAAAUUCCUUGUCGGGUAAGUUCCGACCUGCACGAAUGGCGUAACGAUGGCGGCGCUGUCUCCACCCGAGACUCAGUGAAAUUGAAAUCGCUGUGAAGAUGCAGUGUAUCCGCGGCUAGACGGAAAGACCCCGUGAACCUUUACUAUAGCUUUGCACUGGACUUUGAAUUUGCUUGUGUAGGAUAGGUGGGAGGCUUUGAAGCGUGGACGCCAGUUCGCGUGGAGCCAACCUUGAAAUACCACCCUGGCAACUUUGAGGUUCUAACUCAGGUCCGUUAUCCGGAUCGAGGACAGUGUAUGGUGGGUAGUUUGACUGGGGCGGUCUCCUCCUAAAGAGUAACGGAGGAGUACGAAGGUGCGCUCAGACCGGUCGGAAAUCGGUCGUAGAGUAUAAAGGCAAAAGCGCGCUUGACUGCGAGACAGACACGUCGAGCAGGUACGAAAGUAGGUCUUAGUGAUCCGGUGGUUCUGUAUGGAAGGGCCAUCGCUCAACGGAUAAAAGGUACUCCGGGGAUAACAGGCUGAUACCGCCCAAGAGUUCAUAUCGACGGCGGUGUUUGGCACCUCGAUGUCGGCUCAUCUCAUCCUGGGGCUGUAGCCGGUCCCAAGGGUAUGGCUGUUCGCCAUUUAAAGUGGUACGCGAGCUGGGUUUAGAACGUCGUGAGACAGUUCGGUCCCUAUCCGUCGCGGGCGUAGGAAAUUUGAGAGGAUCUGCUCCUAGUACGAGAGGACCAGAGUGGACUUACCGCUGGUGUACCAGUUGUC
rnacentral:rRNA from 1 species